rnacentral:lncRNA from 1 species
AAAAUAGCUGACAAAAACCGAACCGAAAAUGAAUGUUUUAUUGGAUAUUUGAGAUUUGAAUUGAAGUAGUUUGUACCUACAAUGCAUGAUGGCAAAUAAUUGUGUAUCUAAAUAUUCCAUUGUACCAUUCAACAGCUCAUCCAUCGAUGGGCUUGUGGCAACAUCUCGCACCCUCUCAAAUCUUUGUGGCUUCCCGCUGGCUUAACAUCUGUUGGUAAUAUCUCUGAUCCCCCUCGGUAAAUCCCACCAUUUGAUUGGCUUACUUUUUGCGCAAAUUCCAUGUGCAUUCGAUUCGAGGCGAUCUAAUUGGAUAAGCUGCCAGCCUGCCAGGAGAUCCAUCGCCCAACGCGUCUCGUUGCCCACUCGUUCUGGAACCUCAAAAGGGUGGACUGUGUGGAAAAUUGUUAAUGUGAUUGCACUAAUGGCUCGAAUUAUGGACGCAUUAGGGUAAAUUAAAAUCCGCCUCGGCAAAGCACUCGCACGGCCAGCAAAGUGGACCCUCAAUUGAGUGUCCUGAAAUGGGUUGGGGGGGCAGGGUCUGUAACUGCGAUUGGCACUGGGGGGUUGAGUUAGGGCUACGACUAUGGCUAGGGCUACAAUAAAGUUGUAGUGGCUGCAUUAACAAUGCCAUUGUCGAACUCGGACUCGGACUCGGACGACUCUCAUGGUGUCACCCUGGUGGUCAGGUGCAAAUGUUGCAUGAUUUCGUUUCUCUCCUUUUUUUGAUUUCCUAUUCUGUUUUGAAAGGAUCGAGAGCGGAGGUGGGGCUUGGGGUUGCUGUACGACCCAAAACAGCUGUCAACAUUUUUGUCGAAUGUGGCCCAUGGCGAUGACAAUCGAAUCGGGUGGGGCGUCAAUCGGGUGGUUGAAAUGCCCAAAUGGAGGGAGGAGUGGCAGUGUGGGCUGUGCCCUAAGUGACAAUUAUUUGUGCUGGUUGUUGGUUUAUUUCACUUAAGUAUUGGUUACCGUUCACGAUUGGUUUUGCGUUAAGUGUUUGACUGCUCGGCACCGUGCGCCAAUUACGUGUCCGCUUUCCUGCUUCUCUGUACCGAUUGUUGCAUCAAGGAAGAUUCACUCUGUGCAUAGACAACUCCAAUUGCAAACUUUCAGGUUGUGCCUGCCAUCUGGCAUCUGGUCGCUGGUCUCUGGUCGCUGGUCUCUCAUUCCUGCUUCCGUUCUACGCCCAGCAGCAGACCGUUCCCUAUGCCGUUCGCGGGUGCCUGUCCCUCCAUUAAAACCCAAUUAAUUUCAACGCUCAACUGGGGCGAUAUUUGUUGUGCGGCUGCACAAUCAUCUGUCAAAGCCAGACGCCCUGCCAUGCCCGGCUGGUGACCUUCUUCCACACAUGGGGCGGUGGGGCCGAUGCUGCAACUGCAACUGGGAUUCCUACAACAAAAACAGGAACAACAAAAUAAUCCUUAAUUGUUUGCAUUUGUGUUGCAAUUUAGCUGAAAUCGCGCCUCUUGGCCAAAUUGUCUUUAAAUUGGCAGUUGGCGCUGUGCGCCAUAAAUCCAAGCAGCACCCGACCCGAGAUCCCCACAUUGGGUUCCUUAACUCUCCUUGUACCCCCGUCCCAUAACCCAUCCCCAUGCUCUCAAUGUCUGUUAAUGCUCUAUGCUUGCUGGGUAUAUCGCUUGUGUUGAGCACUGGCAGGAAGGCUAAAGAUCAGCAUUUGCCCAUAAAUGACAACACAAUAAAUUUUCAUAGUAAAAUGCAAAGACCAAAGGUAAAGAGCUCUGAAGUUUUCCUUUUAUAUUCGUUAGUCGCACCUCAGUUCAAUCCGAGACUUUCAAAGAUUGUAGUAACGAAAGAGAAUAUUGGAUAAAUCGGCAAAUAUUUCUAGUCGCUGAGAUUACCAAUGAGCAAAUGGGACAUUUUAUUAACAAAAUUGGUCAUAAUUGUGGCUGCCAAUAAAAAUGCAGUUGGGGGAAAAUAGUUUAUAAAUUCAUAGUUUCGGGCCAGGCAAAAAUGGUGCAUGAACAUUUCUGGAAUAUUAAAAAGAAAUGAUUAAUUAUUUAUUUAUAUAUUUCCGCUGUGUUUCCGUUCAGGAUGUACAUUGCUUGUGGUUCCAAUUUGCCUUCACGAUUAUCUUGAAUAGAAUAUGAGUUAGAAUCUUUUAAAAUUCAUAAAACUCGUCAGGGAUCAUCAACAAAAAUGGGUUUAGCCCAGGGUAUCUUUUGGGUCUUCGAUUUGUUCAGUCUUUUGGAGGAUUUUCUGUGUGCGCUUGCAGGGCAGACGGCGGAAGUAUCGCUUGGGUAGACUGCUGGAGUCACCAGGCUUGGCGUUGCUGUUCCCCCGAUCCGACCCGCUUGUAGUCACCCGUGGGGCAUCGUUGGCGGUCAAUAGCAGUUGAAGCAGUGGCAGUGGCAGGGGCAGAUGCAGCGGCUGCGGCGGCGGUCGCAAAUUAUCAGCAAAUUAGACUUUUCGUCGAAUGAGCCAAGAAACCGAGAAGACUCGAAGUCGGAGUCGGAGUUGGAGCUGCGUCAUUUGGUUUGAUUUGAUUUCAUUUGUUUGCAUGUCUCGUUGUCAUUUCUGGUUGCGUUUCGUUGGCGGCGGCUGUGGCUGUGGCUGUGGCGGCGUCUCCUUUUUGGGGCCAUUUCUCAUCGCUGGGGUUCACGUUUUAUGGGACGCCGCUGGUAAAGUGAUUUCUUCAACGCUUUGUUAGCGCACUGAAUUGAUGCGGCUGUCAUUAGGCGAUUUCGUUUUCGGCCUAAACGGGUCCCAGAGCCCUCUGGAUCCUCUGCCUCUCCACUCUCUUCGCUCUGAGGUCCGUUUGCUAAAUGCGUUUUUAACGUGCUUUUAAUUGUCAGUUCGUUGACGGUUACCCCGCUGUUUCCACUUCAUCCCCUGUACGAUCUACGCCGCGUUCGCCGGUCUCCGUUCUCCACUCUCAGUUCGCUUCUCACUCGCUAAGCGCAAAUUAAAUCAAAUUGAAACUAAUUAACAUAAAUAAAUUUACACAAAAUCCAAUAGCAAUAUGCCUCGUUACAGGCUUUCACACUUUACGCUUCACUGUGCCGAGGCCGAGGCCGAGACCGAGACCGAGGCUGAGUCCAACCAUCCAUCCGUCUAUCCUUCCCUCCUCCUUGCCAUUUGCCGCCGCCGCCUGUGACAUUUACAAGCGACAACUGUCAAAUUGGACAAGUUGCAUUUGCAAAUAAAUAGACGGCCACUGGCAGGGGGCCAUGGGCACUCGUUCAAACGGAAACGGAAACUGACGAGCCACGAAUCCCAGAGACUUUUGCCACACACACAGGCACACACACAGGCACACACACUCUACGUCCCACAGGGGGUGCUGUGCUGUUCCCCUGCUGAAAUGGAAAGGGCUGCGGUGCGGUGUGCUGCUGUGCUGAGCUGUGCCCUCCUCCAUGUUAGCCGUGCUUCGACGCUUGCGCUUAAAGUUUUUAGGCGCUAUGAAAUUAAUUGGAUUUGCCUGCGGUCGUCCCUGCUGCUGCUGCUGCUGCUCUUCUCUCCUCUUUCGGUACUAUCUUCGACCACAGUGGGACAAGCAACGCUGCUUUGAUACUUAUGCCAAAAGUCUGGCAAAAUUAAUGAAUGAGGAGAUCACUUCCCCUUACUUAGAGUUAAGUUAAAGAACCGGCAUUCGGUGGACUGUUUACACUUUAACAAUUUUCUCUUUUAUUAUUUAAACUGCCAUAAGAGAAACCCAUGUAAAUAUUGAAUGGAUUUGGUAAUACAAAAUGAGCUGUCAAUGUAUAUCUAAUGCGUAUAAUUUCUUAAUGGGCUUCUCUCACAUUCUACGUCACAGACCAGUCCAGUCCAAUUCGGUUGUGCUCUAAACUGCGCUCGGCCAAGCGGCGUAUGCGCAAUGUAACCCAGCCACCUAGGGCCCCAAACAGACCCCCAAAGACAGCCCCACACUCUCUGGUGGUAGCCAGUUGCCAGCUCAGUUAUUUACUGCUUUAUUUGCGGUCUUGUCAAAGCAAUCAACACAGUCAGAGCGUGUCCUGUGCCGGAGUGUCGGAGGUGGUGGAUUUUAUUUACUUGUCUGUCGAGUCCUGCUCCCUGCUCCCUGCUCCCUGCUCCUUGCUGCCUGCUCCCUGUUCACUCGUUGGCUACGAGUUUAUUUGUAGAAUGAUUUUUCAAUAAUUUAUGUAUGAC